rnacentral:rRNA from 1 species
GACGAACGCUGGCGGCGUGCCUAAUACAUGCAAGUAGAACGCUGAAGCGAGGAUCUUGCUCUUCUCGGGUGAGUUGCGCACGGGUGAGUCACGCGUAGGUACCCUGCCUUGUAGCGGGGGAUAACUAUUGGACACGAUAGCUAAUACCGCAUAACAAUGGGCGACACAUGGCAUUUAUUUGAAAUGGGCCAUUGCUCGACUACAACAUGGACCUGCGGUGGAUUAGGUAGUAGGUGAGGUAAUGGCUCAACUAGGCGACGCUACAGAGCCGAACUAAGAGGGUGGGCGGCCAGACUGGGAGUGAGACACGGCCCAGACCGCCACAGGAGGCAGCAGGAGGGAAUCUUCGGGAAGGGGGGGAAACCUGAGCGAGCAACGCCGAGGGAGGGAAGAAGGUUGUCGGGUCGUAAAGCUCUGUUGUAGGGCAAGAACGGGUGUGAGAGUGGAACGUUCACACUGUGACGGUAGCUGACCAGAAAGCAACGGCUAACUACGUG